rnacentral:rRNA from 1 species
GGCGGCAGGCCUAACACAUGCAAGUCGAGCGGUGACAUUUCUAGCUUGCUAGAAGAUGACGAGCGGCGGACGGGUGAGUAACGCGUAGAAAUCUACCUAGUAGUGGGGGAUAGCCCAGAGAAAUUUGGAUUAAUACCGCAUACGCCCUACGGGGGAAAGCGGGGGAUCUUCGGACCUCGUGCUAUUAGAUGAGUCUGCGUCGGAUUAGCUUGUUGGUGAGGUAAUGGCUCACCAAGGCGACGAUCCGUAGCUGGUCUGAGAGGAUGACCAGCCACACUGGAACUGAGACACGGUCCAGACUCCUACGGGAGGCAGCAGUGGGGAAUAUUGCGCAAUGGGCGCAAGCCUGAUGCAGCCAUGCCGCGUGUGUGAAGAAGGCCUUAGGGUUGUAAAGCACUUUCAGCAGUGAGGAAAGGGGUGUCGUUAAUAGCGCCAUCCUGUGACGUUAACUGCAGAAGAAGGACCGGCUAACUCCGUG